rnacentral:rRNA from 1 species
GAUGAACGCUGGCGGCGUGCCUAACACAUGCAAGUCGAACGGACCUUGCUAUUUUGGAGUACUUGUACAAAGAAAGAGCGCUGGUUAGUGGCGGACGGGUGAGUAACACGUGGGUAAUUAACCUUCUAGACUGGGAUAGCAACGGGAAACUGGUGCUAAUACCGGAUACGAUUCAUUGGCGGCAUCGCCGAUGGAUGAAAAGAGGCCUCUCCAUGGAAGCUCCUGCUAGAAGACAAGCCCGCGGCUGAUUAGCUAGUUGGUGAGGUAAUGGCUAACCAAGGCAACGAUCAGUAGCCGGCCUGAGAGGGUGAACGGCCACACUGGGACUGAGACACGGCCCAGACUCCUACGGGAGGCAGCAGUGGGGAAUAUUGCGCAAUGGGGGAAACCCUGACGCAGCAACGCCGCGUGAAUGAAGAAGGCCUUCGGGUUGUAAAGUUCUGUCAAUUGGGAAGAAACCUCCAGGGUCAAUAGCCUUGGAGAUGACGGUGCCUAAGAAGGAAGCUCCGGCUAACUACGUGCCAGCCGCCGCGGUAAAAC